rnacentral:sRNA from 1 species
ACUAAAUUUUCUUUUCUGCUGUCUUUAAUGUUAAUUCUGGGUGGACAGGUUUUCUUGCACAC